UAGAUGUCUAACUAAAAACUCCUCGGCAAACAUUGAGCUAGAGUUAUCAAGACAAGUGUGUCUGGAAUUAUAUCAGGAUUGUAAGAACUUGGGAAGAUUUAUGUUGCGUUACGGAGGGAAGACUAUAGCAGCUGGCAUAGUCACUGAGGUAAUGCGUGAAAGUUUAACCAAGUUUUCCUCAACAAUAUUUUUCGACAAGUUUUAUUUGCUCGUGUGUACGGCAAAAAAUUGACAAUUUUUCCUGCAAUGGAGUCUUGUUUCAAAGCUAGUUAUGUCGGCUUUUGGACAUGAGGAAAAUUUGUUCGUGUGUACUGCUAGCCUGCGAACAGGCCCUCUUUGAACUCUCUUUGAAAAGAGCAAGAAAUACUUCUAUGCACACAUGCAACAAAACUUGUCAACGGAAACUUGUUGACCCUAAACCCGAGACUUUGUAUUCUAAAAUGGUAUAUAAAUUUUCCCUCAAAAUUCCGCCAACAAAAGUCUCUCAAAAACCAGAGUAGCGAGCGAUGAUUUGGAUGCUUUCAUAAUUCUACUGAAUUACCUCUGACUGCAUGCAAAAUACUUCUAUUGUUUGUAGAUUCGAUCUUGACAGAAGUGGAAUUUGGAAGGGAAAGAUCGGAAUUAAAUACCAUCGACAUCGUGCCUUCGAAUGGACAACGUGACUUGUGCUUGAAAUGUGUGCACUAAUGACAGUAAUAACUUUGCGUGAAUGUAAAGAGGAGGGUUGGACGGGGAUGAAAUAUAAUAAAAUGUAUAAUUUAUCAAACUAAAUUAUUUAAGUAAAUCACAGGGUUUUCUAUACAUGGAGUAACUAAGCUUUUGCUACACUUACUAGGUGUGCAUGUUAACAUUUACUGGGGGUGCUAACAUUUACUGGGGGUAAUGUUUUUGAUGUUACCUGGGGGUAAUGUUUUUGGGGGUAAUGUUUUUGAUGUUUGAUGUUACCUGAGGGUAAUGUUUACUGGGGUAAUCCUGAC
rnacentral:lncRNA from 1 species